rnacentral:rRNA from 1 species
AGUGAACGCUGGCGGUAGGCCUAACACAUGCAAGUCGAACGGCAGCACAGUAAGAGCUUGCUCUUACGGGUGGCGAGUGGCGGACGGGUGAGGAAUACAUCGGAAUCUACUUUUUCGUGGGGGAUAACGUAGGGAAACUUACGCUAAUACCGCAUACGACCUACGGGUGAAAGCAGGGGAUCUUCGGACCUUGCGCGAUUGAAUGAGCCGAUGUCGGAUUAGCUAGUUGGCGGGGUAAAGGCCCACCACGGCGACGAUCCGUAGCUGGUCUGAGUGGAUGGUCAGCCACACUGGAACUGAGACACGGUCCAGACGCCUACGGUAGGCAGCAGUGGGGAAUAUUAGACAAUGGGCGCAAACCUGAUCCAGCCAUACCGCGUGGGUGAAGAAGGCCUUCGGGUCGUAAAGCCCUUUUGUUGGGAAAGAAAAGCAUCAGGUUAAUACCCCGCUGUUCUGACGGUACCCAAAGAAUAAGCACCGGCUAACUUCGUG